rnacentral:rRNA from 1 species
UACGGAGGGUGCAAACGUUGCUCGGAAUCAUUGGGCGUAAAGCGCACGUAGGCGGCCUGUUAAGUCGGGUGUGAAAGCCCUGGGCUCAACCCAGGAAGUGCACUCGAAACUGGCGGGCUUGAAUAUGGAAGAGGGUCGCGGAAUUCCCGGUGUAGAGGUGAAAUUCGUAGAUAUCGGGAGGAACACCUGUGGCGAAAGCGGCGCACUGGGCCGCAACUGACGCUGAGGCGCGAAAGCUAGGGGAGCAAACAGG